UGACCGGGACGGACAGUCGCGUGCCUGCAUCGAAAGGUGUCCGCAUGAGGAAAGUCCGGGCUCCACAGGGUAAGAAUAACGGGUAACGCCCGCCGAAGGCGACUUCAGGAAAAGUGCAACAGAGAUAUACCGCCCCAUCUGUGGCUUUGCACAGACGAGGUAAGGGUGGAAAGGCGAGGUAAGAGCUCACCCAUCACAUGGGAACAUCGUGAUGCUGUAAACUCUAUUCGGAGCAACACCAUGGAGGAGACAAUAGGUUGACCCGACCGUCUCCGAGGAGGUGGCUUGAGCAUAUCGGCAACGGUAUGUCGAGAUAGAUGGCUGUCAAUUACAGAACCCGGCUUAUAGUCCCGAUCAUAAA
rnacentral:RNase_P_RNA from 1 species